rnacentral:rRNA from 1 species
AAACUUUACAAUGCAGGAAACUGCGAUAAGGGGACUCCGAGUGUCUGGGACUUUCUCAGACUGUCCAGGUACCUAAAAAGUACCUGUUAGCAAGGGCCGGGCAAGACCGGUGCCAGCCGCCGCGGUAACACCGGCGGCCCGAGUGGUGACCAAUAUUAUUGAGCUUAAAGGGCCCGUAGCCGGCCAGGCAAGUCUCUUGGGAAAUCUGUCGGCUCAACCGCCAGGCGUCCAGGAGAUACUACCAGGCUUGGGACCGGGAGAGGUAGGAGGUACUCCGGGGGUAGGAGUGAAAUCCUGUAAUCCUCGGGGGACCACCGGUGGCGAAGGCGUCCUACCAGAACGGCUCCGACGGUGAGGGACGAAAGCUAGGGGCACGAACCGG